CUUCCACUCACCAUUUUACACUUUACCUUCUUCAUUUCAUUUCUCUCAAAAACCCUAGCAAAGACUCCAUUGGAGGAAAGCUUAGUUCAUAGCUUAUCCCUUCAAUUUGGCUCACUUCCAUUCACCUUAGAGUAAAAAGCUUGGGAGACAAAAGCUUCCCCUCAUCCUCCUUUACAAAACCCUUGAAGGAUCUAGCCUAACUCCUAGUUUUGCUUUGGUAUCUAGAGAUUUAAUUCUCUAGUGAGUUGAAGGUAACAAGCUGAAAAAUCUGUCUUGCGGACCAAAAGUUUAGAUCGAUUUCAUUUUGGUGGUAAUUGGGAUUUUCAUUCCAAUUGAGGUACAAGAUACAAGAUACAAGAUUGGAGAUUUGCAUUUGCUUUGGUGAUUUGCAGAAUUGAAGUUUCUUUAGAAGCAUUCUUGUUCACAUGCAAGUGUUAGCAUGUUUAAGUUUUUCCUAUGAAAUGUAAUUUUUCCAACUUAGAGGUUUGACAUGUUAAAUAUUGUAAAUGAAUUGUAAUAAGGCCAUAGGCCAUUUCAGUAUAUUUAAAAUGUUGUUUUACACUUGCGUGUAGGUUCACAUCAUCACACACUUGCAUAUAAUUAAGUUUGAUCAUGCAAUGGGGGAUUCAAGUGAGGCUUAAAGUUUCUUUCUUUUUUUUUAGUUUUGGUGUACGUGGUCUAGUUUGAACUAGAUUUUGUCCCUUUGGUUGUCAUUGGUGCCAUAGGGUACUAUUUGACCCUUUUCAUGUUAGUUUUUGCUUCCAGUUAUUUGCUUGAGCUCCGUGACUUCAUGGAAGGUCACAUUGGUGUCUUGGUGAUGAUUUAUAUCUCUAUAGACUUUGGUUUUUAUCUUUUGCUUCCGCAUUUCAUAUCCGUUAUCGGGUCAACUUUUGCUUCAUCACUGACGCACCGGGUUGAAAAACUUGGGCAGUCACAAAGAGGACCAC